rnacentral:rRNA from 1 species
AGUGAACGCUGGCGGUAGGCCUAACACAUGCAAGUCGAACGGCAGCACAGUAGGAGCCUGCUCUUACGGGUGGGGAGAGGGGGACGGGUGAGGAAUACAUCGGAAUCUACUUUUUCGAGAGGGCGACGAAAGGGAAAUUAAUACCACAUACGAUCCACGCAUAAAGGCGAAGGAAGUGCGGGUCUGGCCCUAGAGGGUUUGACGAUGGCUGAUUAGCUAGUUGGCGGGGUAAAGGCCCACCAAGGCGACGAUCAGUAGCUGGUCUGAGAGGACGAUCAGCCACACUGGAACUGAGACACGGUCCAGACUCCUACGGGAGGCAGCAGUGGGGAAUUUUGGACAAAGGGCGCAAGCCUGAUCCAGCCAUACCGCGUGGGUGAAGAAGGCCUUCGGGUUGUAAAGCCCUUUUGUUCGGAAAGAAAAGCUGCACUUUAAUACCCCGCUGUUCUGACGGUACCCAAAGAAUAAGCACCGGCUAACUUCGUG